rnacentral:rRNA from 1 species
UUAUUUUAAGAUUAUUUUUUAUUGUUGAAAAAAUUAAAAAUAAAUUGUUUUUAACAAAAAUUAAAAUUUAUAAUAUUUCAUUUUUUGGUUUUUUGUUUUAAAUUAAAAUAAUAAAUAUGGGGGAAAAAAAAUUUUGUUAUAAAUUAUAUUAGUUUAUUUUAAUUAAAAAUAUUUUUUAUUAAAUUUGUUUUUUUUAUUUUUUUAUAAAAAAUAUUAAUUUAAUUAUUAUUAUUGAGUUUAAUUUAGUUAUUUUUAAAAAAAUUUUGUAUAAAAUAAAUUUGAUAAUAAAUGUUUUUUAAAUUCUUUGGGGGUUUAGUUUAUGAUUUUUUGUUUCUGCUCAUUGUUAAAUAAAAGCACUUUUAGCGUGAUUAGUCAAAGGUAGCGAGGUAAUUUGUUUUUUUAUUGAAUUCUAGUAUGAAUGGAGAUUUUGUUAUCAAAUAUAUUUAAUUGAGAAAGAAUUUUGGAUUUAUUUAAAAAAUAAUAAAUUUAAUAAAACUAAGAAAAGUCUUUAGAAAUU